rnacentral:rRNA from 1 species
AUUGAACGCUGGCGGAAUGCUUUACACAUGCAAGUCGAACGGCAGCACGGGGCGAACCCUCGUGGCGAGUGGCGAACGGGUGAGUAAUACAUCGGAACGUGCCCACGUGUGGGGAGUAACGUAGCGAAGACUACGCUAAUACCGCAUACGAACUCUGGUUGGAAAGCGGGGGACGUCGGCAAGGGCCUCGCGCGAUUGGAGCGGCCGAUGGCAGAUUAGGUAGUUGGUGGGGAAAGGUCUCACCAAGCCGACGAUCUGUAGCUGGUCUGAGAGGACGACCAGCCACACUGGGACUGAGGACACGGCCC